GGCUCGGUGGCGGACGGUCCGCGCCUGUCCAAUCUACCAAUGAGUACCAGCGCUAGUAGCACAGGAGACACCCGUUCGACUCGGGUUCGAGCCA